rfam:Stegodyphus mimosarum contig96848, whole genome shotgun sequence.
GCCUUCAUGAUGUAAUGGUCAGCACGCUCGACGCGUAACCGAAAGGUCCGCGGUUCGAUUCCCGGCGAAGGCG